ensembl:lncRNA
GAACUCUUUCACUGAUGAUUCAUAAUGAGCUUUAUUAUAGAUCCGUCACCGUAGAUUUGCAGUAAUCACCGUUACAUGCCAUAAUACAUCACGAAAUCACCAUAAGAGCUUUACAUGAAAACAAACAAAACAUAAUAUAAAUAAACCAUGAAACAAACAUACAUCAAAUCACAUACAAACUAAUACCCAUUAUUACAUUACAUAAAACAAGAAAUCCAAAACAAUACAGAUAAGUCAAUUUUACCUUAUUCUCCACUUAAACCAGGAGCUAAAUCCUUGAAGUUCUCUUUAACCGUAUGCCUUUAGAUGAAUCAAACAUGUGCGCCGUAGCUGCGCUCCUUACUACAAUGCUACUACACCUGCGCCCCACCCCUCGUUCCCACGCCUCUCGGCCCCGCCCCACUCGCCACAGAACUCCAGGAGGUGUUCUUAGAGGGGGGGGGGGGGUACUGUCACGGUAAACCGUGAUCUCUGGGUUUUGCACUUUGUGGUGAAGUCUGUGUGUUUCGCGUCUACACUGAUUAGUUUGCGGGCGUCUCUGUUAAUUGUCAUCAGCAGCAGCUGUCACUCAUUACUCUCUCCCUAUAUAUUGGCUUGUCUCACGUCUUGUGUUUGUGAGAACGUUGUUUCAUGUCUGGUAAAUGUUCUAUGCUUCUGUAUUGUUCUGCGUUGGAUGUCUGUGUCUUCCCCAGGAACUUCAUCCACUCUUCGCACCUCCACAAGCAUCACCACUUACCUUCGCCUCGAUUCCCCGGAGUUCCUGUGCCAUCCUCUCCUACUGCCAACUCACCAUCACCAUCCGGAUUACUCACCAUCUCCCCACCAUCUUGCUCCUCCUUCACCCAGUCGUCACAGAACGUUCUCACCUCAAAAUGGAAGCAGCGAGCACCACCUCUUUAACUGACUUUAUUCACCACCGCAUCAACAGCAUGGAUCAGCAGCAGGAGAGCAUCUCUAACACCGGAAGCGCUAUCCAAGCGCUGGUUGCACAAGUGUCUGAGCUCACCCAGCAGAUCCAUCAGCUCACCUCUCCCACUGCGCCCAUCGCACCGCCUGCGCCGCCCGUCCCCCGGGAGAACCCCCAGGAUCACUUCCGGCCAGAGCCGCAACUUCCGGCGCCAGAAAACUACUCCAGUGAGCCAGCUUUCUGCAGAACUUUCCUAAAUAAGUGUCCCAUGCACUUUGCCUUACAGCCCCGCACCCUCGCCACCAAGGAAUCAAAGGUGGCGUUCACGCUAACUCUACUGUCCGGCAAGGCCGCCAACAUCCGUAUUGCGCCUUGUUCCACACCCUGUCGCUCAGCUGCUCACCAGUUACAUCAAGGGACCUCCUCGGUCACGGAUUACUCCAUUUAGUUCAGUUUAAACAUGAGGCUAAUAUCGGGUGGGAUCUCCGCUGGGAAGUCCUCAACAACAUCAUUGACUCUCCUUCCGGUGAAACUGCGGUGGGAGAAUCACACACACGACUUUCAAGCCCUUUUGGACUCCGGAGCCGAAGGUAAUUUCAUCAACUCACUCCUUGCACGUCACCUGAACAUUCCUGUCUUGCCUGUGUCUCUUCCCAUCCAUGUCACCGCACUCAACGGCCAGGAACUGCCUCACGUCACCCACUACACUGAACCCAUCACUCUGCUCACUUCAGGCAAUCAUUGUGAAACCAUAUCCUUUUUCCUCAUGGACUCCCCCGUAGUUCCUAUUGUCUUAGGUCACCCCUGGUUAAUGAAACAUAAUCCACGAGUGGAUUGGGGUCCAACACAAUCACAUUGUGGAGUGAAAGUUGUCAUGAGUCUUGUCUGGUUUCUGCUUGUAUUGUUGUCCCUGUCUCUGUCUUUCAGAAGGAGAACAUGGUAUUAUCAAAUGUGCUCGCAGAGUAUGUAGACCUGAAGGAGGUGUUCAGUAAGUCCCGUGCUGCUUCUCUUCCUCCACAUCGUCCCUACGACUGUGCCAUAGAUUUAGUGCCAGGUAAGUCUCCGCCUAAAGCCAAAUUAUACUCUCUUUCUAUUCCAGAGAGGGAGGCCAUAGAGAAAUACAUUUCUGAUUCCUUAGCAUCUGGGUUCAUCCGCCCUUCCUCUUUUCCAGCGAGGCGGGAUUCUUUUUUGUGGGUAAGAAGAAUGGUUCUCUGCGACCUUGUAUUGAUUACCGAGAGCUGAACAACAGUACGAUAAAAAACACUUAUCCAUUACCACUCAUGUCUUCAGCUUUUGAGAGGUUACAGGGAGCAUCCUUAUUCACAAAAUUGGAUUUACCUAACGUUUAUUAUUUGGCCCGCAUCAGGAAGGGGGAUGAAUGGAAAACCUCCUUAACUACCCCUAGAGGGCACUUUGAAUACUUGGUGAUGCCGUUCGGGCUCUCCAACUCGCCAGGAGUUUUCCAAGCACUCUUUUAUGACGUGUUGAGAGAUAUGGUAGAUCAGUUUAUAUAUGUUUACCUGGAUGACAUACAGAUUUUUUCUUAAUCUCCCCAGGAACACAUUCAACACGUCAGACGAGUGUUCCAUAGGUUACUUGAGAAUGGUCUUUUUGUCAAGGUGGAGAAAUGCGUAUUCCAUUCACAGUCUGUUCCCUUCCUAGGAUAUGUUGUCUCAUCCGAGAGAAUAUGUAUGGACCCUGACAAAGUUAAGGCUGUGAUAGAUUGGCCAUCUCCAGAUUCCCGUAAGGCCCUACAGCAGUUUAUGGGGUUCGCCAAUUUCUUUCGGCAUUUUAUUCGCAAUUUCAGCCAACUAGCCUCACCACUGACAGCCUUGACCUCUCCCAGUACUCCGUUCAGGUGGUCAGACGCAGCAGAGACUGCGUUCAACUAAAAAAGCCACUUCUUUUCGGCUCCCAUCCUUGUGUCCCCUGACCCCACACGUCAGUUCGUGGUGGAGGUCGACACAUCAGAGGUGGGGGUAGGAGCAGUGUUGUCCCAACGUGCUGUCUCGGAUGAUAAGGUACAUCCUUGCGCAUUUUUUUCCCAUCGAUUAUCUCCUGCUGAACGCAAUUAUGACAUUGGUAAUAGAGAGUUGUUGGCCGUCAAAUUAACUUUAGAGGAGUGGCAUCACUGGCUGGAAGGCUCAGGGGUACCUUUCAUUGUUUGGACAGAUCAUAAGAAUUUAGAAUACAUUAGAACUGCCAAAAGAAUCAAUUCCAGGCAGGCCCGGUGGGCACUUUUUUUCAGUCGCUUUGAUUGUACUUUAUCGUACCGCCUGGGUUCCAAAAAUUUCAAAAACCGAUUAAUUAUCACGUCUUUUUGAUCCCUCCGCCCACCCGGUGACUCCCGAGUGUAUUUUACCUGAGAAAGUAGUGGUCUCAGCACUCGUAUGAGAGGUCGAGUCGAACGUCAAGACGUCCUUAGAAGGGGUAACGCCUCCGCCCGGUUGUCCACCGAACCGUUUAUUUGUGCCGGAGGAGUUAAGGUCCAAAGUCAUUCAGUGGGGUCACUGCUCUAAUGUUGCUUGUCAUCCAGGGAUAAGUCGAACUAAUGGGUUAGUUAAAC